AUGGCAGGCGUCGAGUGUGGGCUGAAUUUCCGCCCAACCAAACGGAAAACCGAGGGUUUCGCCGCCGAGGAGCGCUCGCGCGCCGCCAAAACGCUCGACUGUUCCAACGGAGACAAGAAGUCUGCUGCGGCGGGGACGGUCACCAGCGCCCAAGGAGAUGAGAACGAGACUCCAGCAAAAAAGAUGUGGCGGCUGCCGCUGGAGGAGAUCAAGUGGAUCCUUGCGCAGCCGAACGAACCUGUCUGGGCUGACAUCCGGGAGCUCAAGCGCGCCAACUCAUCGCUGCUGCCGUCGUCGGAGGUGGAGAAGGAUGAGUCAAUGGUGCUGCUGUACGCAUGUGCCCGCGACUGCUACGAGGACGAAGACAAGUUCGCGCGAUUCACUGCAUGGGUCCGUAGCGAGUAUGCCUCCAUGGGAUUCGUGGAGGUCGACUACGACUACUUCGGUGAGAGGGCCGAGGCGACGAGGCUGAGCGAGGAAGCACGGGAGGAGGUGUUCAGAGACACAGAUCUUUCGUCGGACAGCGAGGACGACGAUGAGCUGAAGCUUCUCAAGAGGACAGUUAGGGGCUGGGUCUGA
rnacentral:rRNA from 1 species